GUCCUGCGGACGGAAGGGUCCCGGGUUCCAUUCUGGUCGAGGGCACGUGCCCAGUUGCGGGAUCAAUCAGCAGUCGGGGCCGAGGCAGCCGGUCAAUGAUUCUCUCUCAUCAUUGAGGUUCUCCUGGCCCUGCAGAGCUGUGAAGCACAGCUGGAAAAGUCCUAAACAUGAGGAAUGUGCCAGCAGAGGACUGGAGGGGAUGAAGGGCAGCCCUCCGACUCCCCAGGGACAGGGGACUCAUGACUGGCCAUGUGUGGAUGGGAUUGAUGGGAACUGAGUCAAGGGUUCCCAGCUUCCCUCACCCCAUACCAGAUGAGCAGAGAUGUUUCAGAUGGGACUAAUCCUGGAAGAUUGAGGUCAUGAGGCUGGGCUAGCACUCAGAGAUUUGCAAGACAAGACAUCCAGGCAGAGAGCACCAGAUUCCUAAAAGCAAAGGACCAUGUAUGAUGUCAUGAUAUCCAAGGGGAAGAAGGAGCUAAAACCCUGCUGCUCAGCCUCCUCUUCUGGUCCAAGAGCCACUGAUCUAUCAUCUUUGCCUGACUCAAGAUGAGAGGCCUGCCCAGCAAUGCUCUCCUGCUCCUCUCCACUGGAAACCUCUGUCUGCACCAGACCAGAACACGCCCUUCAACUCGGACGUGCACUUGCAUGCCUUCAGUCCUUGCUCACACUGUUCCUUCAGCUUGGAGUGCCUUUUCUCUUUUCUUCACCUGGCAAGGUCCUAUAGCAGCGGUUCUCAACCUGUGGGUCGCGACCCCUUUGAGGGUCGAACGACCCUUUCACAGGGGUCGCCUAAGACCAUC